rnacentral:lncRNA from 1 species
CGCUCAAUCCGUGCAGAUCCGAGAUGCUCUGGCUUCCGGAGGCACGCGACCCCGCACUGACAGUCUUCAACCAAGCAACAACAGGAAGCAGAUCUGCUCGCCCAGGACGAGGGGAGAGGGGCACUGGGCUGCACUGCGCUGCCGGCUGCUUCCCCGGUGUAGUCAGCUGCGCCCCUGGCCGCUGCCUCUUGGAGACAGGGGCUGAAUUAUUGAUGGCAUUAAAAAGGAGCCUUCCUCUAAGAUUCUUCCACGUUUUUCUGCUCAUGUGAAGACUCGCUCUGGCCUGACCACCAACAGCACCCCCACCAAAGUGCAGAAGGGCACCUGCACUUCCUGAGAAGAACGGAGCAAGGGGCAGUCAGAGCCCAUCCCCGCCCGUCAGCUGUCAGACCUCACACUGAGGUCUGAUGUUCUCUCUUUCCUCAUUUAUACGUAGAGCUACAGGCCGCCUGCUCAGUCCUUCAGGUGGUGGGUUCAGACCAACAGAAGAUUACUUUCGGAAUCCGCUCUUGUUACACUACAGCUCCGUAGUUGUUUCCUUCUUAUCAAGUCAACCUUUCCAUGAGGUCAAGAGCCAGGCUUGCUUUACUCACUCUUCUAUCCUUGCCCAAGAAUAGCCAGUGAUGGGUAGACAUUUCUAGAUUACCAUAAUGAACCAAAUUGGACAAGUCAGUCAUCGUAGAGUCAAAUCACAACAUGUAGGAGUGGGCAUUCGGCAGGCAGUUAAGAUGAUGAUGAGGAUGCCCAUAUUCCUUAUUGAAUGCCUGGGUUUGAGUCCUGGCCCCAUUCCCCAUUCCAGCUUCUUGCUAAUGCACACCUUGGGAGGCAGCAGGUGAUGGAUCAAGUGGCUGGGUCCAUUCCACCCACGUGGGAGACCUGGAUGGAGUUCCUGGCUCCCAACUUUGGCCAACUCCAGCCCCAGCUGUUGCACAUAUAUGGAGGAAUAAGCUAGCAGAUAAACAAUUCUCCCCCCCCCUUUCUCUCUCUCUCUCUCACACAUACUCUUUCUUUUUCCUUCUCAACUAAAUGAAACCUUUUAAAACCCAACUCUUUAAUAAAAGCAAUUUACUACAUUCA